CGUUCGACCAGGGCUGCUUGGCGGCCCAUUCGACGGUGUCAAAGCCGUCCCGCUCGUCAUAGCGGAACGGGUCCCACUCGCCGUCGGACUCGUGCCGGCCCCUGAUGUCCUGAAAGACGUAGACGUAGCAGCGCUGCGCGAAGUGCACCGCCGCCGCGUACGCGGACGGUGCCCGUUCGGUGCUGUACGGCGUUCUCGACACGAUCA
rnacentral:misc_RNA from 1 species